rnacentral:rRNA from 1 species
AUUGAACGCUGGCGGCACGCCUAACACAUGCAAGUCGAGCGGCAGCGAGAUUAGUAGCACUACUAAUUGUCGGCGAGCGGCGGAAGGGUGAGUAAUACGUAAGAAUCUGCCGUCAAGCGGGGGAUAACUAAUGGAAACGUUAGCUAAUACAGCAUAAUCUCGAGAGAGAAAAGGUGCCAGUAAGGGUGUUACUUGAGGCGGAGCUUGCGUCUGAUUAGCUAGUGGGUGGGGUAAGAGCCUACCAAGGCGAUGAUCAGUAACUGGUCUGAGAGGACGACCAGACACACUGGGACGGAGACACGGCCCAGACUCCUACGGGAGGCAGCAGUGGGGAAUAUUGGACAAUGGGGGAAACCCUGAUCCAGCGAUGCCGCGUGAGUGAAGAAGGCCUUCGGGUCGUAAAGCUCUUUAGGUUGGGAAGAAGAAUGUAGGUUGAAUACUCCUAUGUUUUGACGGUACCGACAGAAUAAGCACCGGCAAACUCUGUGCCAGCAGCCGCGGUAA